ensembl:lncRNA
CUAAGAACAAGGCAGUUAACACACUGUUCCCCUAAGAACAAGGCAGUUAACACACUGUUCCCCUAAGAACAAGGCAGUUAACACACUGUUCCCCUGAACAAGGCAGUUAACCCACUGUUCCCCUGAACAAGGCAGUUAACACACUGUUCCCCUGAACAAGGCAGUUAACCCACUGUUCCCCUGAACAAGGCAGUUAACCCACUGUUCCCCUGAACAAGGCAGUUAACACACUGUUCCUAGACCUUCAUUGAAAAUUAGAAUUUGUUCUCAACUGACUUGCCUAGUUAAAUAAAGGUUAAAUUAUAAAAAUGGUGAAAUAAAUAUCAGAAUUGGGCUGCCUCAAACACGCACACUCACUCUGCCCAGAGUUUGUGAAAAUGUAAUUUUCUUUAUGUUACUAAAUACAUUUUACCAGGGCAAAUGGGAGUAUUCAUGAUCUGUACCAUUGUGGGGUAUUUCUCCAACAUUAGGUCAUCUGAUGACCUAUAAUACAUCUGACAAACACCAAGCUCUGUUGAUGUCCUGACCUCUGGUAAUAAACACCAAGCUCUGUUGAUGUCCUGACCUCUGGUAAUAAACACCAAGCUCUGUUGAUGUCUUGACCUCUGGUAAUAAACACCAAGCUCUGUUGAUGUCUUGACCUCUGGUAAUAAACACCAAGCUCUGUUGAUGUCCUGACCUCUGGUAAUAAACACCAAGCUCUGUUGAUGUCUUGACCUCUGGUAAUAAACACCAAGCUCUGUUGAUGUCCUGUCUUCAUGCUCCACCAACCAAGCCUUGUCUUCAUGCUCCACCAACCAGGCCCUGUCCCUAUGCUGCACUAACCAGGCCUUGUCUUCAUGCUCCACCAACCAGGCCUUGUCUUCAUGCUCCACCAACCAGGCCUUGUCUUCA